rnacentral:rRNA from 1 species
GUGGACGCCAGUCUGCAUGGAGCCGACCUUGAAAUACCACCCUUUAAUGUUUGAUGUUCUAACGUUGGCCCGUAAUCCGGGUUGCGGACAGUGUCUGGUGGGUAGUUUGACUGGGGCGGUCUCCUCCUAAAGAGUAACGGAGGAGCACGAAGGUUGGCUAAUCCUGGUCGGACAUCAGGAGGUUAGUGCAAUGGCAUAAGCCAGCUUGACUGCGAGCGUGACGGCGCGAGCAGGUGCGAAAGCAGGUCAUAGUGAUCCGGUGGUUCUGAAUGGAAGGGCCAUCGCUCAACGGAUAAAAGGUACUCCGGGGAUAACAGGCUGAUACCGCCCAAGAGUUCAUAUCGACGGCGGUGUUUGGCACCUCGAUGUCGGCUCAUCACAUCCUGGGGCUGAAGUAGGUCCCAAGGGUAUGGCUGUUCGCCAUUUAAAGUGGUACGCGAGCUGGGUUUAGAACGUCGUGAGACAGUUCGGUCCCUAUCUGCCGUGGGCGCUGGAGAACUGAGGGGGGCUGCUCCUAGUACGAGAGGACCGGAGUGGACGCAUCACUGGUGUUCGGGUUGUCAUGCCAAUGGCACUGCCCGGUAGCUAAAUGCGGAAGAGAUAAGUGCUGAAAGCAUCUAAGCACGAAACUUGCCCCGAGAUG